AAAUCUCAACCUUCUCGGUUUCUUCUGGACACCGAAGGAGGCUUGGACUUUGGAGGCCUUUGCUGGCGUCUCUCGCCAGCUCCUCUCAAAUGAAUUAGUGGGGUCCUCUUUGCCGAUCCUCGACAUGUGAUAAGAUGUUUCCAUGUCUUGGUUUAUGGCUCUGUUGCUUUUGGGACCCGCUUCUAACCGUCUCAACGAGACAACGUUCGAGCGUGUCGAACACUCUUGAACCCACGAAC
rnacentral:misc_RNA from 2 species